AUACUUAAAUACUUGCAUGCCAUGAUCACGCAGGUCAUUUUCCCAGGGCAAGGCAUCUCCAUCACACUCCAGAUGUGCUGACCCCUGCAAUUUCCCCAGAUGUGGGAAAUUCGACUGCACAAUUUGUGGUAGUGGGGGACUGCAUUCGUGCUUCCCCCUG